CAGGGAUUGCCCUAGUAACGGCGAGUGAAGCGGCAACAGCUCAAAUUUGAAAUCUGGCUCUCUUUGGGGGUCCGAGUUGUAAUUUGCAGAGGAUGCUUUGGCAUUGGCGGCGGUCUAAGUUCCUUGGAACAGGACAUCACAGAGGGUGAGAAUCCCGUACGUGGUCGCCUGCCCUUGCCGUGUAAAGCUCCUUCGACGAGUCGAGUUGUUUGGGAAUGCAGCUCUAAAUGGGAGGUAAAUUUCUUCUAAAGCUAAAUACUGGCCAGAGACCGAUAGCGCACAAGUAGAGUGAUCGAAAGAUGAAAAGUACUUUGGAAAGAGAGUCAAAAAGCACGUGAAAUUGUUGAAAGGGAAGCGCUUGCAGCCAGACUUGCCCGCAGUUGCUCACCUAGGCUUUCGCCUGGGGCACUCUUCUGCGGGCAGGCCAGCAUCAGUUUGGGCGGUUGGAUAAAGGCCUCUGUCACGUAUCUCCCUUCGGGGUGACCUUAUAGGGGAGGCGCAAUGCAACCAGCCCGGACUGAGGUCCGCGCAUCUGCUAGGAUGCUGGCGUAAUGGCUGUAAGCGGCCCGUCUUGAAACACGGACCAAGGAGUCUAACAUCUAUGCGAGUGUUUGGGUGUCAAGCCCGAGCGCGCAAUGAAAGUGAACGGAGGUGGGAACCCUUUGGGUGCACCAUCGACCGAUCCUGAUGUCUUCGGAUGGAUUUGAGUAAGAGCAUAGCUGUUGGGACCCGAAAGAUGGUGAACUAUGCUUGAAUAGGGUGAAGCCAGAGGAAACUCUGGUGGAGGCUCGCAGCGGUUCUGACGUGCAAAUCGAUCGUCAAAUUUGGGCAUAGGGGCGAAAGACUAAU
rnacentral:rRNA from 1 species